rnacentral:lncRNA from 1 species
CUCAUUUUCACCUACACACUGACCCCUACCGGUUUUUGGUGUACUACAGGCUUCUUAGACAUUAUCGCAUUUCAUGUACAAAUAAACGAAUCACUGCAUUUGCGCCUACACACUGACCCCUACUGGUCAUUUAGUGUACUACAGGCUUCUCAGACAUUAUUGCAUUUCAUGUACAAACCAACGAACCACUGCAUUUGCGCCUACACAC